GGUUAACGCUGGCGGCGUGCCUAACACAUGCAAGUCGAACGGUUCUAAGCGCGAGCUUAGGAUAGUGGCGAACGGGUGAGUAAAAGGUAGGAAUCUACCCCUUGGACGGAGAUAGCUACUGGAAACGGUAGGUAAACUUCGAUAAGCCCGAGAGGGGAAAGUGGUGAGACAGCCGAGGGAUGAGCCUACUCUCCAUCAGGUAGUUGGUGAGAUAAAAGCUUACCAAGCCGAUGACGGAUAACCGGUGUGAGAGCAUGAACGGUCACAAGGGCACUGAGAGACGGGCCCUACUCCUACGGGAGGCAGCAGUGGGGAAUUUUGGACAAUGGGCGCAAGCCUGAUCCAGCCAUGCCGCGUGAGUGAAGAAGGCCUUCGGGUUGUAAAGCUCUUUCGGCGGGGAAGAAAUUGCACUGGCUAAUACCGAGUGUAGAUGACGGUACCCGCAUAAGAAGCACCGGCUAACUACGUG
rnacentral:rRNA from 1 species